AGCUCCGAGGUGUUAUUCAUAUUAGAUUGCAAAUCUAAAGAAGCAGCUUAACGUCUGCCGGGGCUU
rnacentral:tRNA from 1 species